GGAAGCGCGUGGUCGGCUGGUGCCACCCCCGGUCUUCAAAAUCGGAGCGGGGCAGCUCCGCUGUCUUGGGCAGGUUCGAUUCCUGUGCGCUUCC
rnacentral:tRNA from 1 species